rnacentral:rRNA from 1 species
UACGAAGGGGGCUAGCGUUGCUCGGAAUUACUGGGCGUAAAGGGCGCGUAGGCGGCCUUGUCAGUCGGACGUGAAAUUCCUGGGCUCAACCUGGGGACUGCGUUCGAUACGGCGAGGCUAGAGGACGGAAGAGGCUCGUGGAAUUCCCAGUGUAGAGGUGAAAUUCGUAGAUAUUGGGAAGAACACAGGUGGCGAAGGCGGCGAGCUGGUCCGUUACUGACGCUGAGGCGCGACAGCGUGGGGAGCAAACAGG